UACGUAGGGUGCAAGCGUUGUCCGGAAUUAUUGGGCGUAAAGAGCUCGUAGGCGGUUUGUUGCGUCGGCUGUGAAAACCUGAGGCUCAACCUCAGGCCUGCAGUCGAUACGAGCAGACUAGAGUGUUGCAGGGGAGACUGGAAUUCCUGGUGUAGCGGUGAAAUUCGUAGAUAUCGGGAGGAACACCAGUGGCGAAGGCGGCGAUCUGGGAAGAUACUGACGCUGAGGUGCGAAAG
rnacentral:rRNA from 1 species